CGGUGUCUUUAACGAUGAGGUUCCACCCGUUCCCAUCCCGAACACGGCAGUUAAGCUCAUCCGUGCCUACGAUACUUGCGGCUCCCGCCGCCGGGAAAAUCGGUCGUCGCCGACA
rnacentral:rRNA from 1 species